GGAAAAAAAGAAAAAGUGCGCCAUUGGUGUGACGAACGCCGCUCCCCGGAGAAGCAACGAUUUGCGGACAAAUUUGAAGCUACGCUCCGCGGAAAGAGCCAGGAACACCGCUCGAUCCCAGAAUCGGGAGGAGACGAGAACGGCACGCUAAACGAGGAGUCGUCGUGAAUCCACCAAUUGGUCGCCACAAAAUCCGCCAAUCGAUUCCGUGCACGUCGGGCGAAGAGUGGCUAGUUCCGAGCCACAGCAAAGACAGACAGGAAGAGAGCA